AUUUAAAUUGUUUAAAUAUCCUUUUAAGGCGAAGUGUACGUAAUUAAACUACACAAUGGAUUUUUUUUAAAUUUUACAUGUAGAUUCUGCUUGUAAAAAUAAAUCGGAAAAUAAAAUAAAAAAAGGGGGUAACCGUUUUCGUUUUUGAGAUACGAGCUGUUGAAGUUAACAGCAUCAUACACCAAAAUUACAAAGGAUAUAUAGGGAAAAUCGUGAAAUUCGGCAGGAAUUGUUACAUUUCCAAGAUUUUCUAUUAUAUUAGACAAUCGAUUUUUUUUUAAAUUUAUGAGACGAUUCUAAAAUGUCUGAGGAAUCGAUUGGUGCAAAGAAAGUCCUUAGCAACCGUGCUACUUUUCAAGCUAUACCCUGUUAAAGUUGAAUCUUGAGUGUAAAAAAAAAAACAAAAAACAACGACAACGUUAUUGACGUCGCCGCAACAGUUACGACGCUUCAUAUAGUCCUAUACUUGUAUGAAAUAUAUACCGUUUUGUUGGAGUUCGUGUUGCUCGGUCUUAAGUUCUUUAUGUUACGUUUUGUGUACUAUUGUAUUGUAUUUGUCUAUUAUAUUCGGGUGCGUGCGGAGAUCGCCAAGCUAGAAAACGGUUGACAUUUUCUUCAUUAUGAACUAGAACUAUUUUCGACCUCGGUGCCUUAUUUUUUGUUAAAAUCUAAACACUGCGACGUGUUUUCAAAAUCUUUGUUCUCAUAAAACUUCAUUUCAUCAAGGUCUCUUCUCAGAAUAUCAGCCAUCUGUCUGGCACAGGAUAACAAAUCAAUAUUUAAGUAAAUUUAAGUUGUGUGGUAAUUCUUAGUACAUUUGGGUAAAUUAAUCUUAUCUUUGUGCCGCAUAAGCAUCUCUAUAAUUCAACACAUCCCUGAGCCACGACAUUAUAUAUUUUAUGCAUCGCAUGCGCUUCUUUUUAUCACAAUCCAGACCGGCUAGUAACCGUUGUAUAACUUUACACGUCUGAAGACGAAUAUUUGCGUGAAACAUUUUUGUAUGAUUUUUAUUUCUGGAAAUCAAUCUGAAAUCUACAACAGUCCAUUUCCGAAAGUCGGGCUGGACCUUUACUUUUAUGUGCAUUCGGGAUUUACACAAAUUGUAACCCGAAUAAUUCAGUCGUAUUUUUCAGCUGAUGUACGAAUGCUACAUUUCUCGUGUGGGAGAAAAUCGGACAUGGAAAGGGCUUGAAUUAUUCGAGUUACUCAAAUUGAAACUCGGGAAUAUAUUUCUAGCUGUUCGGAAUUCGCGGAAACAAAUUUUUUUCGGCAUUACGGUAUUGAAUCAAUAGAGAUACCAAUUAUUUCUUUUAACAAAUUCGAAUACCAGUCAGUUUAUAGGACUUCAGUUUGAAAUAGGGGCGGCAAUCCAUUCGUUUUAUCCAAUCAAUUGGAAAAGGGGG
rnacentral:lncRNA from 1 species